rnacentral:rRNA from 1 species
AACGAACGCUGGCGGCAGGCUUAACACAUGCAAGUCGAGCGCCCCGCAAGGGGAGCGGCAGACGGGUGAGUAACGCGUGGGAAUCUACCCAUCUCUACGGAAUAACGCACGGAAACGUGUGCUAAUACCGUAUACGUCCUUCGGGAGAAAGAUUUAUCGGAGAUGGAUGAGCCCGCGUUGGAUUAGCUAGUUGGUGGGGUAAAGGCCUACCAAGGCGACGAUCCAUAGCUGGUCUGAGAGGAUGAUCAGCCACACUGGGACUGAGACACGGCCCAGAGUCCUACGGGAGGCAGCAGUGGGGAAUAUUGGACAAUGGGCGCAAGCCUGAUCCAGCCAUGCCGCGUGAGUGAUGAAGGCCCUAGGGUUGUAAAGCUCUUUCACCGGUGAAGAUAAUGACGGUAACCGGAGAAGAAGCCCCGGCUAACUUCGUGCCAGCAGCCGCAGUAAGAC